GCAGUAUCCUAACUGUGCUAAGGUAGCAUAAUCAUUAGUCUUUUAAUUGGAGACUGGUAUGAAUGGCUAAACGAGAAAUUGACUUUUUUUGUUAUAAAAAUUGAAUUUAAUUUUUUAGUGAAAAAGCUAAAAUUUUUCAGAAAGACGAGAAGACCCUAUAGAGUUUUAUACCUUAAAAUAUUUUCCCUAAAUAGAUUUUUUCAGGUAAAAUAUAAAUGGGUAUUUUGUUGGGGCGACAUUAAGAUAUAAGAAACUCUUUAUUUUUUAAAUUUUUAUUGAAAUACGGUUGAUCCUCUAAAAGAGAUCAAAAGAAAAAAUUACCUUAGGGAUAACAGCGUAAUCUUUUUUGAGAGUUCUAAUCGACAAAAAGGUUUGCGACCUCGAUGUUGGACUAAAAUUUAGGCAGGGUGCAGCAGUUCUGCUUUAAGGUCUGUUCGACCUAUA
rnacentral:rRNA from 1 species